rnacentral:rRNA from 1 species
AACUGCGAAUGGCUCAUUAAAUCAGUUAUCGUUUAUUUGAUAGUACUUUACUACUUGGAUAACCGUGGUAAUUCUAGAGCUAAUACAUGCUAAAAAUCCCGACCUCUGGAAGGGAUGUAUUUAUUAGAUAAAAAACCAGCGCCUCCGGGCUUCUUGGUGAUUCAUGAUAACUUUACGAAUCGCAUGGCCUUGUGCCGGCGAUGGUUCAUUCAAAUUUCUGCCCUAUCAACUUUCGAUGGUAGGAUAGUGGCCUACCAUGGUUUCAACGGGUAACGGGGAAUUAGGGUUCGAUUCCGGAGAGGGAGCCUGAGAAACGGCUACCACAUCCAAGGAAGGCAGCAGGCGCGCAAAUUACCCAAUCCCGACACGGGGAGGUAGUGACAAUAAAUACUGAUACAGGGCCCUUUUGGGUCUUGUAAUUGGAAUGAGUACAAUUUAAAGCCUUUAACGAGGAACAAUUGGAGGGCAAGUCUGGUGCCAGCAGCCGCGGUAAUUCCAGCUCCAAUAGCGUAUAUUAAAGUUGUUGCAGUUAAAAAGCUCGUAGUUGAACUUUGGGUCUGGGUGACCGGUCCGCCUAUUUGGUGUGCACUGGAAACCCGGAUCUUUCCUUCUGGAGAACCGCAUGCUCUUCACUGGGUGUGUUGGGGAACCAGGACUUUUACUUUGAAAAAAUUAGAGUGUUCAAAGCAGGCAUUUGCUCGAAUACAUUAGCAUGGAAUAAUAAAAUAGGACGUGCGGCCCUAUUUUGUUGGUUUCUAGGACCGCCGUAAUGAUUAAUAGGGAUAGUCGGGGGCAUCCGUAUUCGAUUGUCAGAGGUGAAAUUCUUGGAUUUUUCGAAGACGAACUACUGCGAAAGCAUUUGCCAAGGAUGUUUUCAUUAAUCAGGAACGAAAGUUGAGGGAUCGAAGACGAUCAGAUACCGUCGUAGUCUCAACCAUAAACUAUGCCGACUAGGGAUCGGGCGAUGUUUAAUCAUGACUCGCUCGGCACCUUACGAGAAAUCAAAGUC